UACUCAUAGCUCGCACAAGCUUGCCGACUUAGGAUUUUGCUUUGAAACCUCCUUUAGGACAGAGCUGAACUUAAGGGGACAUUAAGCUAUAGCCUAUCCCAGUACCUCUUUCAUUUCUCGCUUUGUUCCAGCUUCUGUACUAUUUCGUCUUUUUUUGUGUGCUUUCGGAGUUGUACGUCUACAGUGGCUCAUGUUGGACUUGCCUGUGCAUUACGGCUGGUGCAUUGCCGCCUGACAGUUUCCAGUUCGAGCGAAAUAUCACCCUAAGGACCGCCAGUGCUGAUGACAAGAAACAACUUCCCAUUUCGCCAUGGAUUUCAUUGGCCGCACCGCACACCGACCGAACAGCACGCCGACGCAGUCGUCUACGUCAGUGUCGUGUUUGUGGUCUUUGCCACCAUAGUUCUGCUGCUGCUGGCGACCACUUGCCGCACCGUGCCCUCGGCAAACAAGUCUCUCGCUGCUGAAGAGCAAUGCGAGGCGUCACAACCUCUACCGACGGUUGUGCACUUGAAGAACUCCGGAGUGGGCGUACGCAUGGAGACGUUCUCGGAAUCAAACAUCGUGUAACUGUGCCUUGGUGUCAGUGUUUCAGCGAGUUGGUUUAACAGCGUUAUUGCAGCAACGCUGACGCACAACAUAGAGUGACGACAAUAGGCAUGUCCCCGGUUCUCCAGUAAUGGGGUAGGAGACACGAGAUUCCCUGCAGCGCCUACGGCCACUAUUGCAGCGACACUUGAGUGGAGACACAAGAAAAAGAAUCUUCAGGAUUGGACGAAAGUUCUGGUCUAUGACCAUCAAGGGUAGAGGCGGGCCGUAAACAGGCAGCUCCUAGACCACACCAUGAGCGCUCCUCAGCCACCACUAUCGUCAAAAAACACGCAUGGUCAUAAGUCUGCCCAUUGAAAUGUGGCAGAACAGAACCACCUGGGCAAAGGUUUGCACAGCAGCUACAGCCCACCUGCACGCCUCUUCCCCAACUGUGCGGGCGCUUAUGGCAAUGACAAAGUUAUGGGAGAAUUUGUAUUCUUCUUGUCUGUCUUUCUUGGUUUCCGCUUUUGGAAGCUGUUGCUAGAAAAGCUUCUUUGUAACGUGCCUGACGUUAUUGAAGGACAUCAUGUGACCAGAUAGCUCGUAUAUGAUUUUCUACGCAAAGUUCAUAAACAACGGCAAACCGAAGAAAAGAUCCGUCCAAGUGACGUCUUUUUUAUUUGUAAGACACGAAAUAUCAGUUCGAACUUUUGUAAAAGACCAAAAACAAAUAAACCUUCUCCCGUCGAAACGUCCACGA